AGGACGAACGCUGGCGGCGUGCUUAACACAUGCAAGUCGAGCGGAAAGGCCCUUCGGGGUACUCGAGCGGCGAACGGGUGAGUAACACGUGAGCAACCUGCCCCUAGCUCUGGGAUAGCUCCGGGAAACCGGGAUUAAUACCGGAUACGACCACCUUAGACAUCUUUUGUGGUGGAAAAGAAUUUCGGCUAGGGAUGAGCUCGCGGCCUAUCAGCUUGUUGGUGGGGUAACGCCUACCAAGGCGACGACGGGUA
rnacentral:rRNA from 1 species